UACAGAGACCUCAAGCGUUAUCCGGAAUCAUUGGGCGUAAAGCGUACCGAUAGGUGGUUUUACAAGUCAGAAGUGAAAUCUUAAGGCUUAACCUUGAGUCUGUCUUUUGAAACUGUAAAACUAGAGGGGCAAAGGGGAAGCUGGAACGAACGGUGUAGUAGUGAAAUGCGUUGAUAUCGUUCGGAACACCAAUAGCGUAGGCAAGCUUCUGGGUGCCACCUGACACUGCUAGGACGAAAGCGUGGGUAGCGAAUGGG
rnacentral:rRNA from 1 species